AUACGGAGGGUGCAAGCGUUAAUCGGAAUUACUGGGCGUAAAGCGUACGUAGGUGGUUGAUUAAGUCAGAUGUGAAAUCCCCGAGCUUAACUUGGGAACUGCAUAUGAAACUGGUCGACUCGAGUAUGGUAGAGGAAAGUGGAAUUCCACAUGUAGCGGUGAAAUGCGUAGAUAUGUGGAGGAACAUCAGUGGCGAAGGCGACUUUCUGGACCAAUACUGACACUGAGGUACGAAAGCGUGGGGAGCAAACAGGAUUAGAUACCCUAGUAGUCC
rnacentral:rRNA from 1 species